rnacentral:rRNA from 1 species
UGUGUUAUAUAUUUUGAUAUAAAAUAUGUUUUGUACCAUUAGUUUAUAGUGGCAUAACAAAGUUUGAUUCUUGUUUAAUUAUUUACUUUUUAAAUAUUUUACAUGAAAAUUUUUUUUGUGAGAAUUAUAUAAAUCUUAAAGAUAAUUUAUUAAUCUCAGUAUUUAAUAUUAAUAAUCAAAGGAAUUUGGAAUUAGUAAUUUAAUGGAAAGUCGGCUAAAUUUGUGCCAGCUGCCGCGGUUAGACUUGGGAUUUAAGUAAAUAAUAUCGGCGUAGAAGUUAAUUAUAUAAAAAUUUGUAAACAUAUAAUUUUUCUUAAAAGGUGAAAUUUAAAAGAAUGGAUAUGGUUUAAUAAGAUGAAGCUUUGAAAUUUAGAAUAUAAACUAGGAUUAGAUACCCGAUUA